rnacentral:piRNA from 1 species
UGGAGCAUCACACGUUUGUUGAGCUGUGC